rnacentral:rRNA from 1 species
UAGCCGUAAACGAUACUCGCUAGGUGUCGGCCACGGUGCGACCGUUGUCGGUGCCGCAGGGAAGCCGUGAAGCGAGCCACCUGGGAAGUACGGCCGCAGGGCUGAAACUUAAAGGAAUUGGCGGGGGGAGCACAACAACGGGUGGAGCUUGCGGUUUAAUUGGAUUCAACGCCGGAAAUCUUACCGGGACCGACAGCAACAUGAAGGCCAGGCUGAAGACUUUGCCGGAUUAGCUGAGAGGUGGUGCAUGGCGUAGUCGUGU